rnacentral:rRNA from 1 species
AUUGAACGCUGGCGGCAUGCUUUACACAUGCAAGUCGGACGGCAGCGGGGGUGCUUGCACCUGCCGGCGAGUGGCGAACGGGUGAGUAACAUAUUGGAAUGUACCGAGUAGUGGGGGAUAACCAAUCGAAAGAUUGGCUAAUACCGCAUACGUCCUGAGGGGGAAAGCAGGGGAUCUUCGGACCUUGCGCUAUUUGAGCAGCCAAUAUCUGAUUAGCUAGUUGGUGGGGUAAAGGCCCACCAAGGCGACGAUCAGUAGCGGGUCUGAGAGGAUGAUCCGCCACACUGGGACUGAGACACGGCCCAGACUCCUACGGGAGGCAGCAGUGGGGAAUUUUGGACAAUGGGGGCAACCCUGAUCCAGCCGUGCCGCGUGUCUGAAGAAGGCCUUCGGG